rnacentral:rRNA from 1 species
CAGUAGCCGCGGUAAUACGAGGGGGGCAAGCGUUGUUCGGAAUUAUUGGGCGUAAAGGGUGCGUAGGCGGUUUGGCAAGUUUGGUGUGAAAUCUUCGGGCUCAACUCGAAGUCUGCAUCGAAAACUGCCGGGCUUGAGUAUGGGAGAGGUGAGUGGAAUUUCCGGUGUAGCGGUGAAAUGCGUAGAUAUCGGAAGGAACACCUGUGGCGAAAGCGGCUCACUGGACCAUAACUGACGCUGAUGCACGAAAGCUAGGGGAGCAAACAGGAUUAGAUACCCCAGUAGUCCCUGUCUCUUAUAA